UACGAAGGGGGCUAGCGUUGCUCGGAAUCACUGGGCGUAAAGGGUGCGUAGGCGGGUCUUUAAGUCAGGGGUGAAAUCCUGGAGCUCAACUCCAGAACUGCCUUUGAUACUGAGGAUCUUGAGUUCGGGAGAGGUGAGUGGAACUGCGAGUGUAGAGGUGAAAUUCGUAGAUAUUCGCAAGAACACCAGUGGCGAAGGCGGCUCACUGGCCCGAUACUGACGCUGAGGCACGAAAGCGAUGGGGAGCAAACAGG
rnacentral:rRNA from 1 species